UACGGAGGGGGCUAGCGUUGUUCGGAAUUACUGGGCGUAAAGCGCACGUAGGCGGCUUUUUAAGUCAGAGGUGAAAUCCUGGAGCUCAACUCCAGAACUGCCUUUGAUACUGGAGAGCUUGAGUCCGGGAGAGGUGAGUGGAACUGCGAGUGUAGAGGUGAAAUUCGUAGAUAUUCGCAAGAACACCAGUGGCGAAGGCGGCUCACUGGCCCGGUAUUGACGCUGAGGUGCGAAAGCGUGGGGAGCAAACAGGG
rnacentral:rRNA from 1 species